rnacentral:rRNA from 1 species
UACGUAGGGUGCGAGCGUUGUCCGGAAUUAUUGGGCGUAAAGAGCUCGUAGGCGGUGUGUCGCGUCGGCCGUGAAAACCUGGGGCUUAACUCUGGGCGUGCGGUCGAUACGGGCAUCACUAGAGUUCGGCAGGGGAGACUGGAAUUCCUGGUGUAGCGGUGAAAUGCGCAGAUAGUCAGGAGGAACACCGGGUGGCGAAGGCGGGUCUCU